rnacentral:tRNA from 1 species
GACCCCAUCGUCUAGAGGCCCAGGACACGGCCCUUUCAAGGCUGGAACCGGGGUUCGAAUCCCCGUGGGGUCACUA